GAGAAGGCAUGUGCGGACGAUGGCUUCUG
rnacentral:piRNA from 1 species